GAUGAACGCUGGCGGCGUGCCUAAUACAUGCAAGUCGAGCGAACAGACGAGGAGCUUGCUCCUCUGACGUUAGCGGCGGACGGGUGAGUAACACGUGGAUAACCUACCUAUAAGACUGGGAUAACUUCGGGAAACCGGAGCUAAUACCGGAUAAUAUAUUGAACCGCAUGGUUCAAUAGUGAAAGACGGUUUUGCUGUCACUUAUAGAUGGAUCCGCGCCGCAUUAGCUAGUUGGUAAGGUAACGGCUUACCAAGGCAACGAUGCGUAGCCGACCUGAGAGGGUGAUCGGCCACACUGGAACUGAGACACGGUCCAGACUCCUACGGGAGGCAGCAGUAGGGAAUCUUCCGCAAUGGGCGAAAGCUUGUCGGAGCAACGCCGCGUGAGUGAUGAAGGUCUUCGGAUCGUAAAACUCUGUUAUUAGGGAAGAACAAAUGUGUAAGUAACUAUGCACGUCUUGACGGUACCUAAUCAGAAAGCCACGGCUAACUACGUG
rnacentral:rRNA from 1 species